rnacentral:lncRNA from 1 species
GGAGGCGCUACUUACAAGGGUCUCUACUUACAUAGUACAGUAUAUACUUUGGUAAAGAUUUAGACUGACAUAGGGAUACGAGUUUUUUAAGCUUAAGAUUUUUGUUAAGUUUCGGACUUAAAAUAAGGUAUCGGACUCUUGUCUUUUCCAAUUCUGCAUAAAUUUUUUGGGUAGACGAUAGCCAUGUGUGGACAGGAGUUGGGAAAAUCUUCGCGCAAAUACAAACAGAGUUUGUAAGCCUUGUUACUGUUACU